UUCCAGCUUAAAGGAGGCAGACAAGACCUAUCAGCUCAGGCUGAGUGGGCUGCGCCAGCACUUUCUUUUGCCAGUGAGGACGGUGUUGGGCAGUGAGCAGAGUUUGGAGGAGGUCUGCAGGCACUUAUCGUUGAAAUCCGGAAAGGGAUAUUAGCGGUUUGGAUCAACUUGUACCAAGAAUUCGGGCAGCGAGAGAUUUACAUGAAUGCCACCCAAACCUAUUCAGGAACUCCGAGGGUGAAGAUGGAAGCGUUCAGGGGACAUGAUUCCGGAAGGUCAAAUCUCUGCAGAGGUCUCCAGUGGAGGUGAGAUGAGAUGACCCUGGAUUCAGGCUGGACCCUACAUCAAAGACUGGCGGCCCUACAAGUGGAAGUGAUGAAGGCACCGCAAGGCCAGAAACUGGAGGUGGGGAGGAAAUGAUUGACUCAGCCACAGAAAUGAAAACGCCUCAGGUGCAGAAUGCUCCGGAAAAGGCAGACCAGAGGAGAGAUCUGACUUAGCAGAGAGGGACCGACAGAGACCCACAAAGGCGGAAAGUACUGAAGACUUGGGAAAGACGACGAGGUCGGGGAUGGGGGGAGAGGGAAAGAGAGAGAGAGACAUGAAUUGAUGGGGAUAGCCUAAAGGACAUGGUGACCGAUCCAGGGACCUGCCAAUUUUGAGGGGCCCAGAGGGACAUCUGGAGACCUUAGGAGAGGGCAAGGAUGACUCACGAAACCAAGAUGACCCCCAAGAACAAGGCAGCCAGACACACGACGGCAAUGCUGCCGAGCAGGGCCGAGUUCCGCAUCUUUCUCUCUGUCCUGUAGUGCAGGGCCAUGCGGGGUUGCCCGUCCACUGGGCCAGCAGGGGAGACCACACAGACCCCCCAAAUCAGCACCCAUCCAUGGCCACCCCCCCCACCGGGGCGACCUGGGCACAGGUAGGGUCCCUCAACUACCUACUUGACCCCUGACCUCUCCUGGCGUCUGGCUGUCCAUCUGCUCCUAAAACUCUCUAUGGCAGGUGGGGUUCUAGACCUUGCUAGAGGGCAAGGGCAUUUCAGAAUGUCCAAACGGCUUCUGAACCACACAGUAACUGUGAAGGGCAGGAUUCCAGGCUGCCUGGGGUCCCCAAACUCCACAACCCAUGGGACACGACUUUUCAUCUCUCACCAACCUGUCCCAGGUCUUCUCCAGCCCCAGGUACUUACUGAAGCAGUACUUUUUUUUGAUGCAUUGUGGGCUGAUCUUCUGGCAACGUAGACAGUCCAUGACCUCUUCUUUUAGGAAGUCUGGGGAGGGGAAGGGAGAAGUGAGAUGAGGGCAAAUGGCAGAGGACUGGCAAGGGGCAGAGAGGCAGAGAGGGAAGAGAAGUCCCCAGCCCUUCUGAGUUUGCGCAGUGCAUGCAGGAUGAAAGGUGCUGAUGAUUCACGCUGAAAACACUUUUUUAAAAAAAAGAUUUAUUUGUUUGUUUAUUUAUUUAUACAAGCACUGGGUACAGUCAGAAGUGCGGGAGGGUGAGAGAAUUCACCAGAGCCAGAGCCAGGAGCAGAACAGGCUGAUGGACCGAGGUACACUGCUGAGGGGAGCAGUGGGUGGCAGGAGAGGUCUGCCCGCCAUGUGGGACCCUCGC